rnacentral:rRNA from 1 species
UACGUAGGGUCCGAGCGUUGUCCGGAAUUACUGGGCGUAAAGAGCUCGUAGGUGGUUUGUCGCGUUGUUCGUGAAAACUCACAGCUCAACUGUGGGCGUGCGGGCGAUACGGGCAGACUUGAGUACUGCAGGGGAGACUGGAAUUCCUGGUGUAGCGGUGGAAUGCGCAGAUAUCAGGAGGAACACCAGCGGCGAAGGCGGCGCUCUGGGCCGGUACUGACACUGAGGAGCGAAAGCGUGGGUAGCAAACAGG